rnacentral:rRNA from 1 species
GACGAACGCUGGCGGCGUGCUUAACACAUGCAAGUCGAACGGAAAGGCCCUGCUUUUGUGGGGUGCUCGAGUGGCGAACGGGUGAGUAACACGUGAGUAACCUGCCCUUGACUUUGGGAUAACUCCAGGAAACUGGGGCUAAUACCGGAUAGGAGCUCCUGCUGCAUGGUGGGGGUUGGAAAGUUUCGGCGGUUGGGGAUGGACUCGCGGCUUAUCAGCUUGUUGGUGGGGUAGUGGCUUACCAAGGCUUUAACGGGUAGCCGGCCUGAGAGGGUGACCGGCCACAUUGGGACUGAGAUACGGCCCAGACUCCUACGGGAGGCAGCAGUGGGGAAUAUUGCACAAUGGGCGGAAGCCUGAUGCAGCAACGCCGCGUGCGGGAUGACGGCCUUCGGGUUGUAAACCGCUUUCGCCUGUGACGAAGCGUGAGUGACGGUAAUGGGUAAAGAAGCACCGGCUAACUACGUG